CCUACGGGAGGCAGCAGUGAGGAAUAUUGGUCAAUGGGCGCGAGCCUGAACCAGCCAAGUAGCGUGAAGGAGGAAUGCCCUACGGGUUGUAAACUUCUUUUAUAAAGGAAUAAAGUGAGGCACGUGUGCCUGGUUGAAUGUACGUGAUGAAUAAGGAUCGGCUAACUCCGUGCCAGCAGCCGCGGUAAUACGGAGGAUCCGAGCGUUAUCCGGAUUUAGUGGGUUUACAGGGAGCGUAGAUGGGUUGUUAAGGCCGUUGUGAAAGUUUGCGGCUCAACCGUAAAAUUGCCAUUGAUACUGGCAGUCUUGAGUUCAGUUGAGGUAGGCGGACUUCGUGGUGUAGCGG
rnacentral:rRNA from 1 species